GGCAUGGUGUAGUGGUUUCAAUGUUGGACUAUGACUCCAGAGGCCAGGGUUCAAAUCCCUACUCAGCCA